rnacentral:rRNA from 1 species
AGUGAACGCUGGCGGUAGGCCUAACACAUGCAAGUCGAACGGCAGCACAGUAAGAGCUUGCUCUUACGGGUGGCGAGUGGCGGACGGGUGAGGAAUACAUCGGAAUCUACUUUUUCGUGGGGGAUAACGUAGGGAAACUUACGCUAAUACCGCAUACGACCUACGGGUGAAAGCAGUGGAUCUUCGCACCUUGCGCGAUUGAAUGAGCCGAUGCCGGAUUAGCUAGUUGGCGGGGUAAAGGCCCACCAAGGCGACGAUGCGUAGCUGGUCUGAGAGGAUGAUCAGCCACACUGGAACUGAGACACGGUCCAGACUCCUACGGGAGGCAGCAGUGGGGAAUAUUGGACAAUGGGCGCAAGCCUGAUCCAGCCAUACCGCGUGAGUGAAGAAGGCCUUCGGGUUGUAAAGCCCUUUUGUUGGGAAAGAAAAGCAGCAGGUUAAUACCCCGCUGUUCUGACGGUACCCAAAGAGUAAGCACCGGCUAACUUCGUG